ACAGAGGGGGCAAGCGUUGUUCGGAAUUACUGGGCGUAAAGGGCGCGUAGGCGGCCUGCUAAGUCGAACGUGAAAUCCCCGGGCUCAACCCGGGAACUGCGUCCGAUACUGGCAGGCUUGAAUCCGGGAGAGUGAUGCGGAAUUCCAGGUGUAGCGGUGAAAUGCGUAGAUAUCUGGAGGAACACCGGUGGCGAAGGCGGCGUUCUGGACCAUUACUGACACUGAACCGCGAAAGCUAGGGGAGCAAACGGGA
rnacentral:rRNA from 1 species